UUUACUCCAUUAGCUAUUGAAAAGGUAAUUUAGUUGGCGACUGACAAUUUUAUAAUAAACAAGUUAGUUUUUACAGAGCUGACAGAAGUUGACAUCGCUGAGAAAUCUAUAUCAGAUCAAAAUAGUGCACGUGACUCAGACGAAUAGAAAUAAUGUUGGCGCAUGCGUACAAUCACUCGUUCGAAUUUGGGGGUCCCGAUCUCGAUCCGAGUUGCAAUCUGAUGAGUGAGACACACCACACAUGGAUAGGAGACUUGUGAAAGCAGUGGAGGACAACAAAGUCGAUGAGGUGGAAGCUCUUUUGAAGUCAGGCGCUUCGCCUGAUGCGUGUGGUAGUAAUGGAUGGCCUGUACUUGUUACAGCUUGUAUAAAAGGCAGCAAUUCCAUCGUACAACAUUUGUUACAGAAAGGAGCAAAUGUUAACAAAGCAGAACCUAAUGUAAGUGUUGAGAGUGAAUG